rnacentral:rRNA from 1 species
GCAAGUCGAACGGUAACAUAGCUAGCUACCUAGCUGAUGACGAGUGGCGGACGGGUGAGUAACGCGUAGGAAUCUACCUAUUAGUGGGGGACAACAUGGUGAAAACCAUGCUAAUACCGCAUACGCCCUACGGGGGAAAGCGGGGGAUCUUCGGACCUCGCGCUAAUAGAUAUGCCUACGUGAGAUUAGCUAGUUGGUGGGGUAAUGGCUCACCAAGGCGACGAUCUAUAGCUGGUCUGAGAGGAUGAUC